rnacentral:rRNA from 1 species
UCAUGUACAUGCCUACAAUGUUAAUUCAUCAGAUCCCAUUGGAACGCCGCAAUUAAGCAUUCCUGGGAUAGAGUAGUACAACGAUGGGUGACCUAUAAAGAAAUCCUAGUGUUUUACAUGUC